CCUACGGGGGGCAGCAGUAGGGAAUCUUUCACAAUGGGCGAAAGCCUGAUGGAGCAACGCCGCGUGCAGGAUGAAGGCCUUCGGGUUGUAAACUGCUUUUAUAAGCGAGAAAUAUGAUGGUAACUUAUGAAUAAGGAUCGGCUAACAACGUGCCAGCAGCCGCGGUCAUACGUAGGAUCCGAGCAUUAUCCGGAGUGACUGGGUGUAAAGAGUUGCGUAGGUGGCAUAAUAAGUAGCUAGUGUAAUCUGGUGGCUCAACCAUUCAGACUAUUAGCUAAACUGUUGAGCUCGAGACCGUUAGGGGUAACUGGAAUGUCUAGUGUAGGAGUGAAAUCCGUAGAUAUUAGAAGGAACACCAAUAGCGUAGGCAGGUUGCUGGGACGGUUCUGACACUAAGGCACGAAAGCGUAGGGAGCAAACGGGAUUAGAUACCCUGGUAGUC
rnacentral:rRNA from 1 species